rnacentral:rRNA from 1 species
AACCAAAGGGGGCGAGCGUAAGCAGCUCUCACCGAAGGAGGAGCCUGCGUCCGAUUAGCUAGUUGGUGGGGUAAUGGCCUACCAAGGCGACGAUCGGUAGCCGGCCUGAGAGGGCGAUCGGCCACACUGGAACUGAGACACGGUCCAGACUCCUACUGGAGGCAGCAGUGGGGAAUAUUGCGCAAUGGGCGAAAGCCUGACGCAGCGACGCCGCGUGGGUGAUGAAGGCCUUCGGGUCGUAAAGCCCUGUCUGGUGGAACGAAACGCCUGGCGGCCAAUACCCGCCGGGUUUGACGGUACCACCGAAGGAAGCCCCGGCUAACUACGUGCCAGCAGCCGCGGUAAGACGUAGGGGGCGAGCGUUGUUCGGAUUUACUGGGCGUAAAGCGCGCGUAGGCGGCCAGAUAAGUCGGGUGUGAAAGCCCUCGGCUCAACCGAGGUUCCGCAUCCGAUACUGCUUGGCUGGAGUCUAGGAGAGGAGAGCGGAAUUCCCAGUGUAGCGGUGAAAUGCGUAGAUAUUGGGAGGAACACCCGUGGCGAAGGCGGCUCUCUGGACUAGUACUGACGCUGAGGCGCGAAAGCUAGGGGAGCGAACGGGAUUAGAUACCCCGGUAGUCCUAGCCGUAAACGAUGGGCACUAGGUGUGGGAAGUAUUGACCCCUUCCGCGCCGAAGCUAACGCAUUAAGUGCCCCGCCUGGGGAGUACGGCCGCAAGGCUAAAACUCAAAGGAAUUGACGGGGG